rnacentral:rRNA from 1 species
UGCAGUCGAGCGACGGACCUUCGGGUUACGGAGCGGCGGACGGGUGAGUAACACGUGAAUAACCUACCCUCUCAUUCCGGAUAAUUGGCCGAAAGGCCUUGUAAUACGGGGGAGGUUCCGAUUUUGGCAUCAUUAUAGGAACGAACAGGCAACUGGUGCGAGGAGGGGUUCGCGGAUUAUCACGUAGUUGGUGGAGUAAUGGCCUACCAAGCCUACGACGAUUAGCUGGUCUGAGAGGAUGGUCAGCCACAUUGGAACUGAGAUACUGUCCAGACUCUUACGGGAGGCUGCAGUCGAGAAUCUUGGGCAAUGCACGAAAGUGUGACCCAGCGACGCCGCGUGAAGGAUGAAGGCCCUCUGGGUUGUAAACUUCUUUUACGGGAGAAGAACGAGGCAUUUGCCUCUUGACGGUAUCCCGUGAAUAAGCCACGGCUAACUACGUGCCAGCAGCCGCGGUAAUACGUAGGUGGCAAGCGUUGUCCGGAUUUACUGGGCGUAAAGCGAACGCAGGCGGACUGUUAAGUAGGAAGUGAAAGGUCGGAGCUCAACUCCAACAUUGCUUCCUAUACUGGCAGUCUUGAGUAGCGGAGAGGAAUGGGGAACGACACGUGUAGCGGUGAAAUGCGUUGAUAUGUGUCGGAACACCCAUGGCGAAAGCACCCUUCUGGACGCAACUGACGCUCAGUUCGAAAGCGUGGUAGCGAACAGGAUUAGAUACCCUGUAGUCCACGCCCUAACUAUGUCACUAGUGU